AGGAGCGGGGCGGAACCGUUCUGGCGCGGCGCCCACCUUGCGGGACGGACCGGCGGGCGGGCGGGCGGGCGGAGGGACCGGGCCGUCGGACCCCGGCUCGGGCGAGCCCGCAUCCCGCCCGCGAUGCUGGUGGGCAGCGGGCCGAGCUGGCGUGGGCGCCCGCGCCGCAGUCUCUAUCGCCCGCUGCGGCGGGACUCCAGGGAGCUUUCCCCGGGGAGCCGGCACCGCCCCCCCCCCCACGCGUGACGGGCCUGGCGUCGCCGGGAGCUGCGAGGCGGUGGGCCCCCCCAGGACCGUGGGCGGAGACGGGACACGCGUGCGCACCCACGGGCGGGCUGGGCUCCACGCGGCGUGACGCGCGGUUCCGUUAUCCUCCCGGCGGGUUCUGGUGGGAGGGGAGAGGAGCGGAGCGGGGGACCCGAUCGGGGGGGUCAUUGGUGGCGGAGAUGCAGAAGAAGGGAGACUGCGUGAGGAGCACACGUUCGGGGUGGGGGGAAAGAAGUCAGUCAACGUCUGUUUCUGCGCACUUGGGGGGAAGAAAAAAAAAAGCAGUGCGCCAGAAAAAGGGCUUUCUUUCUAUGCAGGAUGACGGAGUUCUGCCUUUUACAUUUGUUUGGGAAACAGUUUUCUGAAUUGCAGCAAUGAAGUCCUGUGAUUUACAGGAGCUGUCAGUCAUUAAGUCUGCAUCAUCCAUGUUUUGUUGCGAGUUCUUUAUAACGUGCACCAUUAAAAUGUAGACAAGAUUAUCAAAUUAGCCUUGUUGAGAGUUGUCCCUGCCUAUGAUUUUCUGUGAAUCAUGUCACUGUAUUUUAAAUGUGAACGUAAGUAGGUGUUUUUGGUUUUUGGUUUUUUUUUUUAACUUUGCUUUACACAAAUUCUAAAGAGCAUUGUUAAGAUUGUGUUGUACCAAAUGUAUUUGAAGCAAUUUCAAAUGCUCUUUCAUAGCCAGUAGCUUCUAGCAAUUUCAUUGAAAGACCACUGGGUUUGUUUUUUGUUUUUAAUUAAGUUACUUUGAUAAAGCAAAUGAAUUUGCCUUGAUGGACAACGUUAAAAACACAUAAGUCAAAUAAUUUGAAUUUCCAACAAUAACUAUAAUAGUCCUUAGUACUGUAGAAUAUUCACCUUAUUAUCUCUUUAAACAAAUUAUGUAAAUGUAUGAAAUAGCAAUUUGAUCAAAGGCUGUUUUACUUUUUCUAAAUAUGUUUCUUCAGAACCUAGAAAAAUGAGAAGUUUGUGUCUUGCAUAUUAUUAAAAAAUAUUUUGUUGCUGAAUUAUUCAUGGGCUCUACGUGUGCAAGAUGAAGUCCCUUUCUAAGGUGGUUUACUUAACUUCCUGGGCCCUGUGCUGACUGCUGCGCCUCUACAGUUCAGUCAAUCAGAGCAGGCCUGUGGCUUAGGUACUACUGGCAUCCCCAUUACAUAAAAGGAAACCCCGAAGAGGAAGAGGUAAACUCAAUAUUUACACAGCACUGUAGCUAAUGAGUCCUGUCUGCCGUUCAGUCCAAUUAUAUUUUAUUCCAGAGUGCCGUUCCCACUUUACCACCCGUAUCCAGUCCAUUGAACCCAUGAUAGUGUUCCAUCAUUUUUGACCCGUAGGUUCAGCCACUUUUAUAGUGUAGUUGAGACAAAAAUGACACUGUCGGGCAUCUUCAUUCCCACGGAUUAAUCCCUGCUGGGCCCGUCGUUGGUAUAGCUGCUAUGGAGUGCAGAGUAAGGGCUUAAAGUACAUGUGGAUCCCUCCCCUGCUCAGUUUUCCCUGAUUUCUCAGGUAAGGAAAAAAGAGAGUUUACCAUGACCUGCCAGGCCCCAAGUGCUCUGCUCUUCUGCAUGUUGCUGGCCAACCUCACUUCAUGGAUUCUAGUCUCCCUGGGACCCACCUUGACCUCUCCACCUGCUUGACAUCUGUAGUACUCUGGACUUGGAAUCCCCCUUGGAAAGCUCUUCCACUCCAAGUCUCAUGCCACCACAACUCUAUGUUAAGUUUUCAGGUCAAAUUUUUCUCACACGCCAUGUCAGAUCUGUGGGUCAGUUUUUUUACCAUCAGAGUAAAGACUUCACUUUGUUCCUUUUAGAAUUCCUAACCCCCACAACAGCACAUGAUGUUUGUAGGUUUCCGUGACAAGCAUGUUCAGAGAGGAGUGUCAGGGACUUGGUGCAUACCAGAGGUCCAGAUUCUUACCUAGAUUAUUUCUUUCAGGUCUCACCCAACAUGUCGGGGAGGCGUGAGUAGCCCUAUCUGAGAGAUGAGAUGGUUGGCUGCCUGAGAAUAGUUUGGUGGCUAGUGGAGGGCUGUACAAGUACACAUGCUGUCUUUGGAGCCACUGCCCUUUCCCGGGUGUCCAUCCACAGGAAAGAUCCCUCCUUUAUCUGUCUUACACUCCUGUUUCUGCACAUUGUGGACAUCUUAUAAUAUUCAUCACUCAAAAUGAUGAAUGCAGUGUAGACCACAAAGUUUGUUGGGAUGUGCACCUUUCAGCCUUAUCAUUUUAACAAUUAUUAUAGAUCCUUUAGUUCUGUUAUUACAAACAUAUCUUCAUACAGUAUUCAAAAUGAGCAGGAUAAAUAUACAUGCCGCUGUGUAUACACAGGUCCUUGUGAAGGUCCUUGUCAUAGCUAUUUCAGUGAAAAAGCAUGUCAUCUACUCUAUUGACACUAAAAUUGGCUCUUCAUUCUAACACUGUAAUUAGCCAGGAGUGGAAAUGCACUUUCUGUUCUCUUAGUUUCAUUGGCCCUACCAGCUUGCUGCAUUUCUUGACAUUUAAAAUAAAAACUUACAGUAUCCAAGCACUUCUGUCUUUAUCACCAUGGCGUCUUUACAAGAGCUAAAAAGUAUUUUAAACUUCAGAUUCAAUGUUUGAUGCCUUGGUUCCAAUAUUCUUUAUAAAAAAUAAUUUAAAUUUCCAUUAAAGGAAUGGGGGAGUCUAGGUAUGUUAGUAUACUUUACAGAACUUUUGAGUGGCCUCUUCAUUGUUGAGAGGUUUAUCAGAUACUAUUGGAAACAUUGAAAAUGAUCGAGGACUCUGGUGAACUUCAAAUGUCAGAUAACUAUGUAGAUUAGGGCCUUGGGGGCUGUUUUUGUUGUUGUUGGGGGGGCGUGUCUUUUGGUUUUUAGCAUGCCUUCUUUUCACUGAGGCAUGUUUGUGUCUCUUGUAAGAUGGGAAGCUCAGCCCCCUGAGCUGCUGUAGAAUGAUUGUGCCGCCUUUAGACCACUAAUGAGUCCCUUCCAGAUGUAGCACCAGCAUCCAGCUUCCACCCGUGCCCAGCAGUUAAAUAUUAACUGGCAGUGUAAGGUUUCUGUUCAUCUGACCCUGUGGAGGUAAAAACACUCAGGCAGGAUGCAGGCCCUCGCGCUCUGUAAUCUGACCUUCAUUCCACGUUUAAACAGAUCUCCGAGGAAAAAAUAACUGUUAAUUAUAGGACUGCGAGAAUGAGCUUCAGAUGCCCUCUGUUUUGAUCGGUUCUCAUACUGACUCACGGCAUUAAUUUCAGUAGUGCUUCUCUGGAUUGGGCUAAUUUCAUGUUUUUUUCUCUUCAGGAUCUAGGUCCCUCAGAAUGAGUCAGUGGUGAGGUUAUUUUAGCAUGUUCCAUAGAUACCAUUUGUUUCCCAGUGUGUUAAUGUUAAACAGCUAAUGUGGCUAAACACUUUAUAAGCAAAGGAUAUAACUACUCCUGUCAUCCCCAGACAUUUAAUCAAAUGCCAUUAUCCUUACUACAACUUAGAGGCUGAAUGUAUCUCUCUAGUAAUUGUGGCAUAAGUGACUUCUAAACUGAGUUCCCAGAAGGUCAGUGAGAGACGGAAAGGAACCCUCUGGGGUGUCCGGCACUUUGGUUAUUUCAGUACACUGCAGCCCUGAGUUGAUAAUUGCCUCCGUUUUACAGUUGAAGACAGUAAGGUUCAGAAUGACUAGUCUCUCGGUCCGUAAAUCCUGGAGGCAGGGUUCUUGUCAGACCUUCCAAGUGGACAUGUGGCUGCCCCUUCCAUAAGGCUGGACUGGAGGAGCUCUGGUUUCUGGUUCCGGAUUGUCUUCACCGAGAAGAGCAGAUUGCUGUUGUAUAGUCUCUGUGGUGACCCUCUAAGCAGAUGACAAGAAAUGCAUUUAAAGCCAUCAGCAGGCUGAGGACAGAACUCAAACAGAGCAACCUGCCUCCUGGACAAGAAGUACUGGGUCGCAUCCCCAGCACUGCAAAAACAAACAUCUUUACGUGUCCAAUUUUGUACUCCAAAAUCUUUUUUUAAGAUAUUUAACUGUUUUCAUUUCCCUUAGAUGUGUAAUACUUAAGGCUGGAAGCUUUAUAUUUUUACAUUUUCCAAAAACAAAUUUCCCACCCAACACAUCAUAACUUUAUAGCGUAACUUGGUAACAGUGGAACACUAAGACCCUUCCUGAAGAAAUCUAUUGCAGGCAGAACAGAAGGACCCCUUGAAGGCGGGAGCUGAGCUUUGCUCCUGCUGUUCCCUUCUUCACAGGGAGCCCACUUCCCACAGCUACUCUGAGUAUCCUUAUAAGACCAUGUAGACAAACUUGAAAUGAGGAUGCUGGCGGAGCAGCUUCCGGGAGUCCAAAAGGUUUCUCUGCCUUCACUACAGGGAAAUAGAAGGUCUGAGAGUUGGCUCCAUGCGUUCAGUAUUUCCAGGGAUUUUCAGGGCUGGAGAUCAAUUGUUCUACCAAUGAACCGGACCCCCACUCCUUUUUAUUGGGCGGGGAGGAAGGGUGAUGCACCUAUGUACCAUGUGUGUGGGGUAAGAGGGUAGCUUUGAAGAAUCUCAUCACCUUCCUCUUGAGGCAAGGCCCCCCUUGUUUUCCCUGCUGGCUCUCCAGGAGAGCUCACAGGCUUGCAGACCAUUCCUUCCACCUUCUAUCUGCUGGGACAAGUACUAAGAUUACAGAUGCAGGUUAUACUAGCCAGCUUUUUUUUUUUAUUUUAAAAUCUGGAUUCUAGGGAUCAACUCAGGUCAUGGGGCUUGCAGGGCAUGUUCUUUUCCCACACUACCUCCCCACCCCACCUCCCUUUUUAUGAGACAGUUUCCUUAGCUCAGGCUGGCCUUGGUCUUCCAGACAGGCCGCACACUGGUAAUCCUGCCCCUACUUCCCAGUUACUGGGAUGAGAGGUGUGUGUCCCAUCCCUAGCUCGAUUCAGUGAUUCUUUGGAAUAUAAGAGAUUUGUCUUAAUAAGAUAUAUCUGUGGUCCCCCUAAAUCUGUAACAGCUCAGAGAUAAGUUACCUCUAAUUUCAGCAUUAAAGGGGAACUGGUGUACAGUGAUGUUACUUCCCUGUUACUUUCCCUUUAUAAUGUGUUUGAAGGUUGUGAGAUGUCAUGUGGUGCUGGGAACCACCAGGUUCUCUGAGAGCAGCAAGUGUUCUCAACUGUCUUCCCAGCCCUCAUCAUUAUGUAUUUGAAUAUAAGAUUAAAAGCAGUUAUUCACAGCCCUGAUACUUAUUCAAUACAGCUUUAUAAGCUUUCAAAUGGUGUUGUUUUGUUUGAUUUUUGAGACAAGGUCUGUAGCCAAAGCUGCGUAGCCUAGAUCAACCUUGAACUCAGUACAACUCUUCUGCUGAAUUUUGAAAGAUUGGCAUACCACUCUUUGCUACAGGCUGAGCCAUGCAGUAUAUCCCAUCUCCUUGUACCCCCAGGCUCUUCCUGGAGCCCUGCAGCCUAAGGUAGAAUCUGCCUUCCAGGGCUUGGGGACAUGCUCAUCCUAGCAUUCUUUAGAAACUUUUUAGUAUUGCCUCUUUGUAUCAGUCUCUACAUACUUGGAAAACUAUUUUGUUUGUAUGUUCAUUAAACCUGGAUUUACUAGGUUUUACAAAUUACAGUGAAGGUAGAUAAUAUUUUGUCAAAAGUAUGAACAGUUUCUUUAGGUACAUAUCCCAGUUUAGAAAGAAGAUUAAAGAAGGGCCCUUACCCUAUUCCAAUGGAAUGCCGAAACCUUAACCCUUCAGCAUUGUCCUCUGCUUCUCCCAGGUUAAUAAUUGCAGAAAUGGGUUGUUGGUAGAGUUAAAUGCUAAUUAACCACCACAGUGUGUGUGUUCAGCAGCUUACAGCCCUGCCUUAGCGGCCCUCAUCCCCCUGCUGAGCCACACCAUGGUGCCAGCAUCUACCGUUUCCUCAUCAUUCUGUCCAGGCCAAUCAUCAGAUCUGUACUGUUAUGUAAGUAGACUUUAAGGGCCACCAACUUGAAUAAUCAUCACUAAUUGCGCCGUGUUUCUCUGAACAGCUGUGGAUAGCAUUGUUUUUGCAUGGAAAUAAAACGUGGCAUGGGAAAAUGAGUAACACUUUUUGUCUAACAGUUCCACACUGUGUGCCCUAUAUUUAUAGUGUGUGUCUGGAAUUAAGUAGCAGUGAGAAACUGCAAGCUCAAACUGUGGCAGACAGUGGGAUGGGGUGGCACCCAUGGAGUAGGAUUCUGGGUCCAGAUACAGCUGUCCGGGGAUUAGGACGACCGUGGGGCGGAACUAGGAAAAGAAACGACUCAGCUGUGAAAUCAGGACCGAGAAGAAGGAGCAAGGGGUUUAAAGACAGCCUUGUAGCUCUCAUCAGCUGAUGCGCCUCUAGUUCCCCUCCGAACAGCUAGGCAGGCCGCUGGUGGGCAGCGACAGUAGACCUUUCCUUGUGCCAGGUUCCUGACCUCUGUGGCCCAAUGGCCAGACUUGACUUUCUCUUCCCCCUCAGCUGACCAGGUUUCAACACUACAGCUGGGCCUCUGCCUAGCUUCAUGAACAGUAUUGGCCCCAGCCAGGCUCUGACACUUCUCCAGAUGGGGGCAGGGCGCAGACACUAAGUCUGCAAUGGUGAGAGGUAACAGCCAAGUCCCAGUCGCUCAGUAGUGAACGACACAGGGGUGAGGAGCACUUCCAUGUUUGAGCUCUUCUAGUACGUGUCUCCCUCUGCGCUGGAUGGUAACACUGCAGCCCACAGCACCUCCAUUUGCCAAGUCCUCAGCACUGCUUGCCCCCGGGUGAUGUGGGUGUACUGCCAUCUUUAAGCCCUGAUUCAUAAGGCAAAAGUCUUGAAAUGUUCUUCCCGGGGAAUGAGUGUGUCACCCAGCCCAAGGGUCCAAAAAAAGCAGCAGAGGAGGGCCCAGGUUCAAAUCCCAGACUGAUGUGUGAAAAGUGGCAACAUAAAUAUAUCAGGGUUACAUGAGUGCAUGCCUCUGUUUCCCAUUGCUACCAAAAACACAUACAAAGCAACAUUAGGGAUUUCUUUGAGCUCACAGUUUGAGGGUUCACAUUACUGCAAGGCAGUCACAGCAGCGGGGAGUGGGACUGCUGGUCCUAGUGCAUCCACAGUCAGGAAGCAGAGAGGGAUUGCCAGGGCUCAGCUGGCUGUCUCCUUUUUAUUCAGUUGGUCUGAGAGCCCCAGCCCAAGAAACGGUGCCACAUACAUUUGGUGGGUCUUCCCACCUCCAUUAACUCAAUGUAGAAAUUCUGUCACUGACAGACAGAAAUGUGUCCCCUAGGAAAUUCUAAAUCCCAUCAAGGUAACUAGAUUAAGUACCACACACUAAAUUUUCAAUCAAUAUUACCAUUUUAUAAAUCAAAAGGGACCUGCAUAAGCUCAUAUUGGUCAGCAUGCAUGUGUUUUGGAAUAUUUGUAAAUAUCUCUUCAGUACAUAGAAAUUUUAUUCACACAGCUCAAAAUCCGCGGUCAUCAUUUUUCUGUGGCUUCCAAUUGCAUAAACCACUUCCUACUGCUGAUGCAGGAGGUAAAAGGUCCACAGCCUGUUGGGAAGGAGCUUAGACCCCAGCUGCCUAUGCUGUCUGAAGCAACAGCUUCUCAGAAAGCUGGCCAGUUCUUUAACUCUCCACUACUGGAUGGCAGAAGCAAUCUGCAGUGGUUAGGUAGAGGCUUCUGCGCCCCCACCACUGCCCUGGAAGCAACUGGCCAGUUCCUAGAGGGGUGUAGAAGAUCGUAUCUUCUAGAGAGCUCAGUAGGUAAGUGGACAACUGCCGUCCUCCAAGCUGUGCUGGGACUCACCACACCACAGUGUAGAUGCCACAGGGGUACUGCAUCACUGACCCAGUGGCCUGGUGACAGGAACCAGAGGUGAAAUGGAGACAUCGGGCAUGCUGACCCAGGCUUGUGAUCUCAGCUACUUGAGAUGCUGAGACAGGAGGACCAAGAAGAGUUCAAGGCCUGUCUGGACUACGGAGUGAGUUUAAGGCCAGAUGGGUAAUUUAGAUCCCAUCUUGAUCUUAAAAAAAAAAAAAAGAUCAAGAAUUUACCUCAGUGGUAAAGUGCCU